GAAGUACAGGCCCCUUUACGGGGCUACACUUCCACCCUUUGUUUACUAUUCUUUGUUGCUUUGGCGAGACGUCCUCGGACCACCGGCCCUCGGGCUGGUGCGCGCUCGCCAGAGGAAAAUCAAACCCAAACCUUUUUUAGUGUUGUCUGAGAAACAAGUUUAAUUAUUAAAACUUUCAACAACGGAUCUCUUGGCUCU
rnacentral:misc_RNA from 1 species